GUCAUACUUUGGGAUGUUGAUGGCAAAUUUCAGAUCAAAGUCACUCAAGUUACUAACCUGAAUGUUAGCAAGGAAACAUCAAUAAUGGUGUAUGCUGGUUUAUAUCACGGAAGUGAGAAUCUCUGUAAAGCUGA